rnacentral:lncRNA from 1 species
GAAAGAGAAAAGAAAAGGGAAAGGGAUUUUUGGAGAGAGAGGAAUUGGAGAGCAAUUUUUCUCUCUACAUCAAAUUCUCGUGGAAAAUUAAGAGAAAAGAGAUGAGAGGGUAGCAACUUAUAGAAGAGAAAAAUCACAAAUGCAAGGAAGGGGAAGAGAAAUCUGCCCUGGAUUUUACAUCAAAUUUCAGUAUUAAACUGAAAGUUGGAGUAGCUUCCUACGGUUCUGCCUUUAUUUUCUGAUUUGAACUUUGUGAUUCGUAAGCUUGAAUGAUGAUGAUGAAUGGUUUUGUUUUGGAUUUGAAUGUCCAGUCUAUGAGCUAAAUCUUAUUGGGUUGGAAUUAUUUGGGUGAAUUUUUACUAUCUUUAAUGCCCAUGGUCUGAUUUUGAGUAUAUUAUUGUUUCAUUCCAUUUGUGAUUAUUUUAAAUGCAUGCAUACAAGCAAGCUCUAGACAUAGAUGAUAAUAUGGUAUGUUGUUAGAUCUAAUUUAAUUCUGAAAAGGUUAAAUAGAUCAGAUUAUUAUCGGUUGUUACAUACGAGUAUUCGAAAGAAUAUUCGCAGCACUCUAGACAUAGAAGUUGUGAUCUUUACAAGGAUAGGAAGAACGGUCUGGAUAUCAUGCUUGAGUUCUGUAGACAUACAAAAAAUCAGAAUGAUAGCUCAAAGUUUGGCUCUCGAGAGAAGCAAACUACAGUAGUGAAGCCCUGAGCAGUAGAACAAUCAAGAUUUUUCCAUGGCAUUAUUAUGAUAUAAAGAUAAAACCUAAGUAAUUCCAACCUUUAUCAUUCAACAGUACAAAUCCUCCCCAUUUAUUCUUUGAGAAUUGCUACAGCAUUUCAAUUGCCCUAGCAUUUUUUAUUCAUAAUUGAUUUUAUUAAUCUAGUCAUUAAUUCUCUUCAUCAAUUUUUCAUCUGUUUCUUUUCCAUAGUUUAAUUAGUCAAUUUCAUAGUAAUAGCAUAACCAUUUUUAAUCAAUU